rnacentral:rRNA from 1 species
UACGUAGGGUGCAAGCGUUGUCCGGAAUUAUUGGGCGUAAAGAGCUCGUAGGCGGCCUGUCGCGUCGGCUGUGAAAACCCGGGGCUCAACCCCGGGCCUGCAGUCGAUACGGGCAGGCUAGAGUCCGGCAGGGGAGACUGGAAUUCCUGGUGUAGCGGUGAAAUGCGCAGAGAUCGGGAGGAACACCCGUAGCGAAGGCGGCACUCUGGGCCGGUACUGACGCUGAGGAGCGAAAGCGUGGGGAGCGAACAGG